GACGAACGCUGGCGGCGUGCUUAACACAUGCAAGUCGAACGGAAAGGCCCUUCGGGGUACUCGCGUGGCGAACGGGUGAGUAACACGUGGGUGAUCUGCCCUGCACUUUGUGAUACGCCUGGGACACUGGGUCUACUACCGAAUAGGACCACGCGCUUCAUGGCGUGUGGUGGAAAUCUUGUGCGGUGUGGGCUGGGCCAGCGGCCUAUCAGCUUGUUGGUGAGGUAAUGGCCUACGAGGGCGACGAGGGGUAGCCGGCCUGUGAGGGGGAGCGGCGACACUGGGACUGAGAGACGGCCCAGACGCGUACGGGAGGCAGCGGGGGGGAAUAUUACACAAUGGGCGCAAGCCAGAGGCAGCGACGCCGCGUGAGGGAUGACGGCCUUCGGGUGGUAAACCUCUGUCAAUAGGGACGAAGCGCAAGUGACGGUACCUAUAGAAGAAGCACCGGCCAACUACGUG
rnacentral:rRNA from 1 species